rnacentral:rRNA from 1 species
UAGGGAAUCUUCCGCAAUGGACGCAAGUCUGACGGAGCAACGCCGCGUGAGUGAAGAAGGAUUUCGGUUCGUAAAACUCUGUUGUUAGAGAAGAACAGCGCAUAGAGUAACUGUUAUGCGUGUGACGGUAUCAAACCAGAAAGCCACGGCUAACUACGUGCCAGCAGCCGCGGUAAUACGUAGGUGGCAAGCGUUGUCCGGAUUUAUUGGGCGUAAAGCGAGCGCAGGCGGUCAAUUAAGUCUGAUGUGAAAGCCCCCGGCUCAACCGGGGAGGGUCAUUGGAAACUGGUUGACUUGAGUGCAGAAGAGGAGAGUGGAAUUCCAUGUGUAGCGGUGAAAUGCGUAGAUAUAUGGAGGAACACCAGUGGCGAAGGCGACUCUCUGGUCUGUAACUGACGCUGAGGUUCGAAAGCGUGGGUAGCAAACAGG